GGUUAGGGUUAGGGUUGGAGCUAGGGUUAGGGUUAGGGUUAAGGUUGGAGCUAGGGUUAGGGUUAGGGUUAGGAUUAGGGUGGAGCUAGGGUUAGGGUUAGGGUUAGAGCUAGGGUUAGGGUUGGGGCUAGGGUUAGGGUUAGGGUUAGGGUUAAGGUUGGAGCUAGGGUUAGGGUUAGGUUCUAUAGACUCCCCGUGCCCUGAAACGUGCUCCUAACACAAUUCUGGAAGGUGAAAAAUUGGGUUGGCACUUAAAAAAUUUUUCAAUUUUUUUUUUCCAUGCAUUCCUAUGGAAAAAAAUAAUUUUUUUUAGGAACGUCCUAGAGACUCGGGAGUUGGUUCAUUGCACUCAGAAAAAUCCUAGCUCCAAGCCCAACCCUAACCCUAGCUCCAACACUAACCCUAACUCCAGCCCUAACCCUAACCCUAACCCUAGCUCCAACCCUAACCCUAACCCUAACCCAUGCAUUCCUAUGGGAAAAAAUCAAAUUUUUUUAGGAACGUCCUAGAGACUCGGGAGUUGGUUCAUUGCACUCAGAAAAAUCCUAGCUCCAAGCCCAACCCUAACCCUAGCUCCAACACUAACCCUAACUCCAGCCCUAACCCUAACCCUAGCUCCAACCCUAACCCUAACCCUAACCCAUGCAUUCCUAUGGGAAAAAAUCAAAUUUUUUUAGGAACGUCCUAGAGACUCGGGAGUUGGUUCAUUGCACUCAGAAAAAUCCUAGCUCCAAGCCCAACCCUAACCCUAGCUCCAACACUAACCCUAACUCCGACCCUAACCCUAACCCUAACUCUAGCUCCAACCCUAACCCUAACCCUAACCCAUGCAUUCCUAUGGAAAAAAAUCAAUUUUUUUUAGGAAUGUCCUAGAGACUCGGGAGUUGGUUCAUUGCACUCAGAAAAAUCCUAGCUCCAAGCCCAACCCUAACCCUAGCUCCAACACUAACCCUAACUCCAACCCUAACCCUAACCCUAACCCUAGCUCCAACCCUAACCCUAACCCUAACCCAUGCAUUCCUAUGGGAAAAAAUCAAAUUUUUUUAGGAACGUCCUAGAGACUCGGGAGUUGGUUCAUUGCACUCAGAAAAAUCCUAGCUCCAAGCCCAACCCUAACCCUAGCUCCAACACUAACCCUAACUCCAACCCUAACCCUAACCCUAACCCUAGCUCCAACCCUAACCCUAACCCUAACCCAUGCAUUCCUAUGGGAAAAAAUCAAUUUUUUUAGGAACGUCCUAGAGACUCGGGAGUUGGUUCAUUGCACUCAGAAAAAUCCUAGAUCCAAGCCCAACCCUAACCCUAGCUCCAACACUAACCCUAACUCCAACCCUAACCCUAACCCUAACCCUAGCUCCAACCCUAACCCUAACCCUAACAUUAGCCCCAACCCUAACCCUAGCUCUAACCCUAACCCUAACCCUAGCUCCACCCUAAUCCUAACCCUAACCCUAACCCUAGCUCCAACCUUAGCCCUAACCCUAACCCUAGCUCCAACCCUAACCCUAACCCUAACCCAUGCAUUCCUAUGGGAAAAAAGGGUUAACCCUAGGGUUAGGGUUAGGGUUAGGGUUGGAGUUAGGGUUAGGGUUAGGGUUAGGGUUGGAGCUAGGGUUAGGGUUAGGGUUAGGGUUUGAGGUAGGGUUAAUUUUGGAGCUAGGGUUAGGGUUGGGCUUGGAGCUAGGAUUUUUCUGAGUGCAAUGAACCAACUCCUGAGUCUCUAGGACGUUCCUAAAAAAAUUUGAUUUUUUCCCAUAGGAAUGCAUGGGUUAGGGUUAGGGUUAGGGUUGGAGCUAGGGUUAGGGUUAGGGUUAGGGUUGGAGUUAGGGUUAGUGUUGGAGCUAGGGUUAGGGUUGGGCUUGGAGCUAGGAUUUUUCUGAGUGCAAUGAACCAACUCCCGAGUCUCUAGGACGUUCCUAAAAAAAUUUUGAUUUUUUCCCAUAGGAAUGCAUGGGUUAGGGUUAGGGUUAGGGUUGGAGCUAGGGUUAGGGUUAGGGUUAGGGUUGGAGCUAGGGUUAGGUUUAGGGUUAGGGUUAGGGUUGGGCUUGGAGCUAGGAUUUUUCUGAGUGCAAUGAACCAACUCCCGAGUCUCUAGGACGUUCCUAAAAAAAUUUGAUUUUUUUCCAUAGGAAUGCAUGUGAAGUGCCAACCCAAUUUUUCAGCUAGGGUUAGGGUUAGGGUUAGGGUUAGGGUUAGGGUUGGAGCUAGGGUUAGGGUUAGGGUUAGAGCUAGGGUUAGGGUUAGGGUUGGAGCUAGGGUUAGGGUUAGGGUUAAGGUUGGAGCUAGGUUUAGGGUUAGGGUUAGGGUUGGGCUUGGAGCUAGGAUUUUUCUGAGUGCAAUGAACCAACUCCCGAGUCUCUAGGACGUUCCUAAAAAAAUUUGAUUUUUUUCCAUAGGAAUGCAUGUGAAGUGCCAACCCAAUUUUUCAGCUAGGGUUAGGGUUAGGGUUAGGGUUAGGGUUAGGGUUGGAGCUAGGGUUAGGGUUAAGGUUGGAGCUAGGGUUAGGGUUAGGGUUGGAGCUAGGGUUAGGGUUAGGGUUAAGGUUGGGGUUGGAGCUAGGUUAGGGUUAGGGUUAGGGUUGGAGCUAGGGUUAGGGUUAGAAACCUUUUGUUAGAAUAUUUUAGGGGUAAGUCAUAUUUGCACUUGACUAUAAUAUAUCGAUUGAAACAACUGAGAAAAUGUUGCACACAGAACAUUUACAAAUACAUACAGGCUGACAGGUUGAUUGGCAGGUACAUCAUCCAAUUAUUUCACUCCAUCCUUGACAACCUUUUGGGCAAACUUAUCACCACCCUGCAGCCACCACAGACGUCUAAGUUUUUUUUUUCUUUUUAUUAAUAGAGCAUUAUUAUUGAGACUUGCAACCAGAAUGUAAUAAACUUGUCAGCAGCUACGACCAAAACAGCAACAACAGAUAACCUCCCAUGGGAUGCUUACUCACUAACAGGCUAUUUACUUCAUUUCAGUAGCAUGUAAUUUUCAGGUGGGGUUGUAUGAUUCACAUGAACUUGUUUAUAUAGUUUUAACCCAUUUAUAUCUGAGGAAUGUUAUCCUGUUAAAGAAAUUGAAAGUUUGUUAUGACAAACAAAUUUAUAGAUAUAACUCGCAUCCUCCUGAUGGCUACAGGUAAAUCCUGUGGUUUCUAUUUAUCUUUACAGAAGGGUAUUUCCUUGCAUUGGAUACUGGAGGUAUCCAGCCAUUUAUUUAUAGAUUUAUAAACAACAGUCACAUAUGUAAAAAAAAUUGAGGCAUUAGCUUACAGAUUCAGUCAGGGUCUUCUGCCUGUACUCUGUGUUCUCUCUAUUUUUCUGCAUGACCUAGAAGAUUAUGGAUACAGAUCCAUGUUUUAGUGCCACUGGAAGUCAUUGGGGCAGUGUCAAGCAGUGUGGCAAGCAGUUAGACACAAAACACAACAAACAAUGAUGUUUAUAUUGUUUCAUAUGCAUGUGUUUGUUCAUACACCAAGGCAGCAUAAAUAAGCCUUCACAAGAGCAACAUCAACCUGAAAUCAGUCAUAAUAGGACGGCAAUAGACAUAUCUACCAGAGCAAAUAAAGAAACAUCCACUUAUUAAAUCACAAUGUCCUCAUGCUACCAAAUAAUGUAGAAGUAGCAAUCCAAAGUGAUGUUAGUUAAAUGGCUAAUGAUGUGUUGAAAAGUUUGCCUUAAAAUGAGUUUUUUGCUCUUGCUUAUUGUGAUACUGAUGAAUCCUACUCUUUAUAAUCCAUGUGUUUUUGCAUUCGUCAGUGUUUCUGCACACUGCCCUCACUGUAAACUGCGUCUCUUAAUGAAUGGAGCAUCUUACAGUUUUUCUCAGUCGCUUUGGUACAUUUCUCAGAUCAGAAUUGAAAUUCUCAAAACUACGUGUUCAAUUUUCACAUCAUUGUGCCACUUGUGCACAUCAAAAAAGCAGUUUCUCAUUUCUUUGAACAACUUGCAAAUGCUUUGGUACAUCCAUGCAAAUGAUUAUGUACAAUUUUCUGCUGUUUUCUACAUUAUCAAUUGCUUAUGUCAUGUUGAUCAAAAUGUAUUAUAAUGGGUCUCUGUUGAAUAGUCUCACCUCCCUCAACAUUUAGGCAUUAGUUCAUUGCAUAAGUCUUUACAUGCAAAAUGGUUGAACAAGCUGUCAUAAUAUGUCAAGCAUAUUUCUAUACAUUUCCAUCAGACGUUUCUGAAUCUGUCCUGAAUUGGUAAAUUGCUCCCAGGUGAAUCUUGACUUUCUCUAACGGUGGGAAAUGUGUGAAGCAUUAGAUCAACCAAUGAUCAACCACUUUUCUGAAAUAGCUCAAAGGUGCAUCUCAUGAACCAUCAACUGGCAAGUGUAUAUAUUGCCGGAGCACAACACAAUGUUACAAUGUCUGACAAUGGAAGGACAAGGAAUUGGACGGGGUCAACAGCCAGAGAGAAGAAGAGGAAGAGGAGUGAGGCUGCGUGGCGGAGGAGUUGGGAGGCAAAACAGAGGAAGAGGCAGAAUAGGCAGAGGACAUAUGCGCGUUCCUGAUGAGAUAAGAGCUACACUUGUAGACCACAUUCUCAAUCAUGGGCUUACAAUGGCUGAGGCUGGCCGAAGGGUGCAGCCAAAUGUUGGGAGAACAACUGUGUCCUCAAUCAUUCAGACUUUUCGUUGACAGAACAGGUAUGUAAUCUAACAAUAGGCACUGUAAUGUAAUACUGUAUACUUUCUGUGAUGCUUCAUACAAUAUUGCAGUAUUCGACUUUCAUUUUACAAUAUACAGUAAGUAUACUAUAUACAGUGACAUUGUAGGUGUAGGAAGACUGUACUGUAAUUCCUACAGCACUGCAUUUCCAGUUUUCCCUAAGGAAAUUGUCGUAUGUUCACAUUUCUACUUUUUUUAUUUUUUAUUGUGCUCUGCAGUGCUGUCUUUUUCUUUUCUGUAUCGCAAUGACAUGGUCUGUCAUCAAAUUACAGUCUCUUGCAAUCAAUCUCCCACAUACACUGAGGUGUAACUUCCAAUUUACAAUGAUUGUCAUCAAAACUUUAGCCAUAGUUUACAUCAGAACAUCCCUCCAGAGUACACUGUUAUACUGACAACAUGACUAAGCAAUUUGACUGUCUUAUCCGUGCACAAUGACACAAGGACUUGUCAUUCUGAUGGCACUGACAUGUUCAUUGACACAGAUAUUUACUUUUGAGAGAUGUACUAAGGAUUUUGAGCAAGAGACUGGCUUUUGCAGCUAAUCCAUGGUGUUUUGCUAGUUGUACAAAUUGUUUUGAGAAAAGGACUUACUGUUUUGCAAAUGUCGAGGAUGAUUCGAGAAAUGUACCAAAGCGACUGAGAAAAACUGUAAUAGGUCCACGUGUAUCUGAUGGAUGAGUCAGGAUGUUUUUCUUCUCUGAUGUUGUGCCAAACAACUAAAAUUGCUCUGCAAUGCAAUGCAUGAAUAUGCCUUAAGCCAGUCUGUCUUUUCCUUAACAGGCUUGAUGACUUCACAGUCCUCUGCAGUAGAUAUUAAGGCACUGUUGCCAUAAAUGAGCUAUCUAAAUAAAAGCAGCCAGCACCAUUAAUUGAUUGACUGAUCACAGACCAAGAUGUGUUGCAAGGAGCCAUCUCAGUUCCAUUCAAAGGCAGGAAUUUAAAGCGAUGAAAGUGUUUUUGCUGUAACUUAAUUACUGCUCAGAGAGACCUCAACCAGCCUGUCAGUUGGUUCUUCUGCCAGCUAAAGCAGCUUGGUUGAUGAGUUUAACCCUUACCUGUUCAGGGAGCAGACACAAAGGCAAGACAUGAAAUAAGACAAUCUACUGUCUUUGACUUAUCCACCCAGAAGAGAGAGCGUGUUUUCACAGGGGUAAUACUCUGAAGCUGUGACCAGGGUGUAAUGAAGGAUUCCAUGUAAUGGCCCCUCUAGCUGUUCCACAUCGCUUCCUCCUCAUCCCUUCCUCGCUCUAUAACCACUUCCUCCGUGAUUUCAUGGGAAUUAAGGGGAGAAAGGUGUGUUUCAUAUGUAAAGCAGGUAGCUUGUGCUAAGAUGUGAGCUGGUUUGUGUGCCCCCCCACCCCCUGGUUUUUGUCUCUUGGGUCGUGGAUGGAAUGGGUGUUGGGAGGUUGGUCGACGUAGGCUUUGAUCACUGGCAGAGGGUCGCUAUGGUUCAAUUUCUAUGGUGCUCCUCUGAGAGGUGAGCUCUGCAAUUACAAACCAUGUGAGAGACGACGAAGGGAUGUUAAUUUCUCAGCUGCUAGCCCAUGUGUCAGUUAGCCAACAGAGGACAUGAAUCACAUUUACGGUAUGAGGCAGAAAGGCCCUUGGCAGCACCGUAACCAGGACAUGAGAUGUAAAAUCCAUUGAAUAAUCUCCUCACUAUGUAAGCUGUGUGGUUGUAAGAAACUCAGUGAAGCACCACAAAAGCAUGAGACCUUGACCUCAUGCUGUCUCACAGUUUAAAGCCUCAUUUACUUACUUUCGUUUAUUAAUUUUGACCAAUGGUAUCUGAAUUUUGGCCAUUUCAAGGCAAAAUUAUGUGUAUUUAAAUUUUUUUGAAGGCUAGUAACAGAGUAAGUUGGGUAUCCAUGCAUAAAUCAUGUUUUCAGGUCAGAGACAAGCUCUUUUGUCUUUUAACCCUUCUCCAGUGUUAGCUUGUACUAUGCACUCACUAUGUUAAGGGUCGGUUUCAACCCGUGUCUUAAAUCAGCUUUAAAUUACACUAAAAACAUUUCUCUAUCAUCCAAUUUGGUUCUCAUCUCUAGGUUACCUUGUUAGGCUUCAUUAUCCAUGAAAAUAUUGCUUAUGAUUUUAGUUUUUGCUCUAAUUUUUAGAUAUUAAUCUAAACCGGGUCAACAGUGACCCAAACAUGACAAGUGUCAUAAUUUUAACAAGAGCAUUUUAUAAUUUCGUCAGUUUAAUUUUUUUAUUUGUUAUUUUGUUGAAAUAGAGGUUCCUGACAAAGUCAAAAAGUCUUGAUGCAAAUUAACUAAUCUAAGUGGUUCUUUUAAGCAUUUAAAAACAAAAACGGGUUGGUGCAGACCCUAACAUAGGACGGGGGUUAACAGUCAAACUUUUUAUGUAAGUUAAAUCUUUUCUGUGAAAAAACACUGCUUUAGCAGUGUGCAGUAGAUGAUUUUGUAUGCUCAAUAGCAGAGCUGUCAGGCAGUGGUAAUAUGUGCAAAGAUCUCAAAGAAACACUAAGGCAAUGUGGAGCUGAGAGCAGAAGCUUUGUUUGUAGUUAUAAGUUUGCUGGCCAGGAAAGGCGACCCCCUGCUACAUGGUUUUGAAGUAAUGUUGUAUGACAAUAAUUUUCUGGCAAAAUAAAGCUGUCAGUUUAAACACAUUAAAUAAAUAAUGCUAGUUUAUAUUAUCCUUUCAUCCGACCAAAACAGCAUCAACAAUAUAAACAGACAAUGAUCUGAUGUCUGAUCUGAGGGUGGACUCAUUAGAAGGUGAGCUUGUCAUGGUGAUGACCCAGUCAGAGGUUCACAGCCUGGUCAGUAUGCUGACAUAACUCACCUUGAGAAAAUAUAGAGAAAAACCAAUUUUAGUCCUCCAAGAGUUUCUCCUGUGCUUGUUUUUGUGUGAUCAAAGAAACACAUAAACCUGAACGAUCUUCUGUCACUUCAUUUCUACCACCUUCUCAAUCAUUUCUUGUUCAAAAAAUGUAACUAGCUGCACACUCAAGGGCAACAUGUAGAGCUUUUUACUGUCAGACUAAAGCUAUGAGCUGGUGGUGAUCAAAGAGCUGAAAAGCUUUUCUACAGUUACAUCUAACAAGCCAGAGUAUUACAAACAGAGAGGGAAAUUCCAGAUCAGAUGAUCAUGUCUUUACCCAGACCAGAUACUUUAGCCAUAAAAAAAAAAUCACACAAACAGCAUAGAGGCAAAGGAUGUUAUUUGUUCUGUAUGAUCAAAGUAACACAGGUUUACAGACUUCAGGCUUACACCCAUGACCCACAAAGACUCUCUAACACACCUGUCAAGAGCAAUGAAAGAAAAAUAACCUUCAGACUGCACAGUUUAAAGCCUUUAUUCUUGUAUGAAAACCCUGAUACGGCUCUAAAUACAUAUAAAAACUUUCAGCAUAAACUCAGAUGAUUUAUGGAGAGUUUGAAAAUGUCUGACUUUCAGCUGUGGUACAGAAAAAUUCUCAGAUGCAGGUAACGUAUUCUGCGGGAACAGAUUUGACUUGGGCACGCUGAGGAGCUAAAAGCAUAUAUUCACACGGUCAUUGGUCAAAAACUGGUCAUUAAUUAGCUACAUCAGUGAUAUUGAAUAGCAACAAAUUGUUGCUUUAAAAACCAAUUUUUCUGACAUUUUUAAAAGAAAGAAACUGAUAGAAACAGAAAAAGUCCUGACUUUAAAUUUUAAUGUAGGUUAUAUCUGGAUCACAGUGAGAGGCCUGGAUAAAAGUCUGUUUUCCUUUAAUCAGUGCCUUUGACCAACCCCAAUGAAUCUAUAAAGAGUAAAUAAAAGCAUCAGAUUUAAUUAUUGAAUUAUUCCCUCUUGGGAUCCAAAACAUGGGAACUCUUUGGAACCACAACAGAAAUUUUACUUUCUGCUGAAAUAAAUGGGUGAAUUAUUCCUGCUGCUCUGCCCCGAGGAGGAAAUAUUAAACAAAUUCAAAUGUUGUCCUUUGACAUUGUUUCAUUCACUGUUUAGUAGAAAAAUGUGACAUGUGAAAGCUACGUAAAUGUACAUCAUUGCAUGGCAUAUAAAUGAAUCUUAUUUGUGUUCACAGAAGGGAAAAAAACAGUGGGUUGAUUCAUCUUGAUAAACUGCUUCUUUAAAGGAAUGAUUAAUUAUUCUUCUUGUGUUCAGAAUAACUGAUUUCAAAGACGCUCUUUGUUGAACUGUAUCUUACUGGUUCAUUUACACCUCCUCAUGAAAUCUGUUAUCACACAGCACAAGCGACCAAAAUGGAACGUGCCCUUCAGCUUUGCAAAUCAUGAAAUUACUGCAGUGGGAAUUUUACCUUCACACUGCAGUCUGCCUCGUACAGCACACAACCAUGUUCCUGUGAAAAAAAAGAAAACACUCCAAAGGAACGCACACAUAAUAUUUCAAAAGACGUGUUAGGGUGUAGUUCUAUCCUGUGAAGCAAGGAUGCCCUGGAACUGUUUAAAGAGGCCUGUGUCUGCGUCUGAAACUAGAAGCCUUUCCAGCGCUGCAGCACAUCAAACUGUGAGGCUGGUUAGGCUGAGCAGAGCUGCUGCUCGUCUUUGUUUAAAACUGCAUGAGAUGAGGAAGGCUAAUUGGACUAAUUAGCCACAAAACAAGGCUUGACUGAGCAGUCUUUCUGUACCACAGAUGUUUUGCCUCUCUUUAGUUAAAAAAAAAGAUGGCAGGAAGAACAGCCUGAUAAUCAAAGCUUACCCACAGUGGCAUUAUUAGGCCCAGUGCUGUCACAAAGCAGACAGGCAGACGUGUUUAUGAUGAAUUGGAGCUUUAACUGACCUUUGCCACAAUAUCUGGACGCCAACCUUGCUUCUUGACAGUCAGUGGUUUAGGCGACGGCCCCAUGGUAUGAAAGCCAAACUAACUUUUCUCUUUUCUUUUGAACUGUUUACGUUUCGGAUGAAGUAUAACACUAAAAAUGUUAAACUUAGCUAACUUUAUUCCCAAUCCCUGAGGCUUCAUGGGAAGUUUGGAAAUUGUAAAAAACCUUUCUUGAUUCAGAAGCAUAUGACCCGCGAUACCUCAAAUCUUUUUAACAUUAAGCCAUUUCUAUUUACAGUUUGAAUGUGAUGGUUACUCUGUAUUACAUAACACUGCAUAUUUUAGUUGGAGAAUUUGAGGAUCAUCUGGAGAUUUAAAUCAUUAGUUAAUUCACUUUUUCUUAGCUGGAAAUAAUGCCUUACCCCAACGAAAAAAGCAAAGUUUCCCUGAGGGUUUUUGGUAAGUUUCAAUAUUUUGUAAUUUUACAUGCAUGCUGUAGGCUGAGUGCAGGACAAAAAGAGACGAAUUUUCCUUGAGACUGGUCGAUAAUAAAAAAAAAGACUGCUGUGGGUGCAAUCUUAGCUCUGUUGGUAGUACAGGCACCCCAUGUAUAGAGGCUACAGUCCUUGCUGCACUGGUUGAAGGAUUGGUUCGAGGCUGCUAUGCCCUAUCCCCCCAGAUUCAAAGUAUUCAUGCACAAUUGUAUGACUUUCAUUGAAUGACUUUAAACAGAAAACAUUAGGAAGUGAAAAUAACUGCACAUAAAGCAAAAAGGUUCUUGUGGGGGGAGUGUUCGGGUCAACAAAUGCAGGACUCUUACUGGCUUUAAUGAUUUUGAUCAAUUUUUGUUAAACUUCACCUUUAACUUUUUAAAGUUCAGUAGUUUACCUUAUUUAAGUUGAUCUAUUUCAAAUAAGUAAUAGAAGAAGUUUUGGUGCUUGGGCUUGAUGUUUGGGCGGUGAUACAGAAAAUUAUGGCGAGAGCUUACAUGUGAAAAAUGAGAGCAGUUUGCCUUGUAACAAAAUAUGAUCUUAGUUGAUAACAUACUUUUCUUGAGAAAUGAAGCAGGCAUCAAGUGAGAGGUUGGCUGUAUCAGUCUGAGAUUUUACUGUGAAUACUCAGAUGCUUUUCUAUAAGAAAUCCAUUAUCUGUUAAUAUUUGCUGAAUGUAUUUCUGUGCAUUUACAUCCCUAUCCUCUGGGAUGUGCAGGCGUAUUGUACACUCUUUCAUAAGCAUCUUAAAUCUCCCAAUAAGACAGAAGCGUUAUCACCCAGUGAUAAGAAUUUAGAGGCAUUUCAAAUCAUGUGAAAAAGGCCCAAAUCUCUUUAAACCCACGAGACAGAAAGUCAAUAGGCAGAGGGACCAAAGACGAGUAAUGUGAUUUUUGGAUUUAACAAUUUUUUUUUUGUAAUAUGUGUGGAGUCACCUGUCAGGAGGAUAAAAAGCAAGUUAACCAAAGCUAGAACAAACAGGAGGUGAAUUUUGUUUCCAAACAAACAAACAAACAAGGAGGGACAUUUUUAUUUAAUUUGAGCCGAGCUGACAGGAAGAGAAGUGACAAAAUCACAGCAUAAAUUAACACUUCAUACUGCACAUCUUCAAAGGUGACUCUACCUUCAUUUCCAUGUUGAGUUUCUUCUUGUCAAAGUUACUCUGCAUAACAAUGAUGUUAAUUUUAGAAGCCUGACCAUGAGUGUCGAUUUGGUCCAAAUUGAAAUUGAAAUUUCAUAAAGCAGGUUUUUAUCUUUAUAAUAACCAGGAAAUAUUCAGCAAAAAUCAUCAGAAACCAUAUUAGGGAGAGUUCAGAAACUACUUUAACUCAGACGUGAGAGUGUGUGCACCAGCAGGUACGUACUUGCCUCCCUAUUUAACUGUAGAUGUAGGAUAACAUGCUCAUUAUAAAAGGGCUAAAAAGGCAACAGAUGUUUUUUUUCAUAUGAAUGUGUGCAUGUUAAUUUUAUUUAUUUAUUUAUUAUUGGGAUAUGUCAUAUUUUGCCUCCAUGGAUGGAAAUGUAUGAUGCCCUAUGUAUGAAUUUUUUAAUGGGGAAGAGCUUGGUAUAAUUUUUUUUAAUGAAAGUUUUUGUGGCCCGAUUUAUAAUCAUUAUUCAUUUUGUACUUUGUCAUCUCCACCUCACUGUAUUUUUCUGUUUGCCAAUCAGUGUUGUAAACCUGUUUGUCUUUCGUGAUUAUUUUAUGUAAAUCAUAACAUGUAAAAUAUGUGUGCGAUUUAAGAUAAGCAAACUUUUAGUGGCUGUUACUGUGUUGUAGUUAUCAGACACUGCACAAGCUGUAAUUUGUUCAGAACAUGACAUAAACAGUUCCUCUGACUUUGGACUCUCUUAGACUGCCUGCCCCUGUGCUGUAGCUACAUCCUCUUGAGAGUUAUCGUCUUGUUGAAGCAAGAUUACAGCCAAAUCAGAUAAAACAAAGCCUGUGCCACGAGCAUAUCUGUGUGUUUCUAUGUGUGUGUAUCCGUGUGUGAAAAGGGAAAAGUUCCAGAGCAGGAUAGAGUUCACCCCUCACUGCUCCCUCUCUGCUCCCUGCUGGGUCUCUUCUGUACUCCUCAGUAACGACUCAUGUUUGAGGCCGAGUGUCAAUGACAGCCCACCUCCGGCACUCAGCCUCUGUACAGCUGCAGGAUAACACAGCCCAACCUUGCCUCCAGCUGGCUGCAUUGUAAUAAUGAAAAAUAGAUGCUGCACCGUAUUAUGCACACCUGGCUGCUCGUCUGAGUGUGCACGUAUGCAUGCGCGUUUGUGUACAAGUGUUACCUCCUUUAUUAGUUUGCAGGAACACCAGAGUGUGCCGUUAGAUGUGUUCACCCUGUGGCUUCAUUCACCGUGCUUCAUCCAUGUUAAUGAGGAUAUAAGGGCUCCCCAUCCCUCCAAGGUCAUAUGCACUGUAGAAGUACUGUAGGGAUUAGCCACCCCAUGCACCCUUAUUCCAUAUGUUCUGAAUACCAACAUAGACACUCAUAGAUUAGAUUGACCUCCCCACAUAUGUGGGUUACAUGUCUAAGGUAUACAUGUAGUAACCCACAUGUGUGCUCAAGGUUCCUGAACCCUGCAACUAUGACCAUCAGCAGCGCUAGAGGAAAAACACAGCUGAUCUUAAGGUGGUAUGGAUUAUUUUGGUUCCAUGAAUGGUAUAUAAAAACAGGGAAUAAGCUCAGAUUGGACCAAACAUAAUAGUACAAACUUCAGAUAUAAGUCCUGUUAAGAUGGGACUGUAUAAAAAUGGAUGUCAUGACAACUCAUAAAAAGUGAGGACAAAUUUUGAAGAGCUUCCCCGAUAACUGGCUGUGGUACAGAUCAUGAAGUCUGCCUCCUCCUGUUUAACAGAUGGGUAGUGGGUCGGGCUAGAAAAUCAUAGUACACCUAAAAAAACAUUCAAGCAAACUUUCUACGGUGACAUUAGUUUUCAUCAUAGUGAUUUACAUAAAGGAAUUUAUUUUUUAACUUUACCGGGUCACUGUUUCAACCUUAGACCGUAUGAAUGAAAGAAUGGACGUCAUCUACCUGCAAGAACAGCACCCUCUGGUGACGGGCUGCAGUAUAGGUCAUAAAUCCCUCCUCCUCCAGCAAACUUAAUGGAGCUGUGGACAACUUUAGAAAUUAACUACACAGGAUGUACACAGAAAAUAUAUUUUCUCCUCCCUGGUUAUGAUGUUGACAUGAAGUUAUUGUAAGACUGGUUUGUGCUCAAGUCCUCUUUUUUUCUGUGCGGCUCAAUUUAUAAAAGUUAUUAGGGGGUUCAUGAUUUCUAUGAUUGACACUUGAUACAGCCUAUGUGCGUACAAAAGCUUUUUAACAGCUUUUAUUAUGCUCGUACUCUUCAUCUAAAGAAGACCAAUAGGUCAAAAUAUUGUGAUCCAAUAAUUAUGACACAAAUACUGUCAUGUGUGAUGAUAAAACAAUGGUGAGGACCCAAGUGUUGACCAAGAGUUUAAACGACAAAAACUAUACUGUGAAACGAAUGUCCAACUCAAAAUCCAACAAAACCAGAGGAGACCAACAAGUCAUGGGGAGGGUGAAUUGAAGAUCAAGAUUUAAACACAGAAACACAGAGGAAAAGACACAGUGAGCGGACUCAGGAGGAAUGAAACACAGAGUGAAUACUGACGGGGUCAAACAGACACAGGGAUGACAUAAGACCCCCCAUUUGUUCAGGUCAGGAGAGGUCACACAAUCAUGAUGGAGGGAAAUCACACAAAGGCAGGAAGUAAAACUUGAAAAGUUUAGAUGGAGACAACACUUAAAAAAGAAAACCUGAAACACCAAGGGAACCGAGAAACAGGAAGCAACACAACCAAAUAUAAACAAAAUACUUCCCUGUGUUUUAGUCCUCUAAAAUGAUGUCUCCUUAAUCCUUGGUGCUCAACUAAACCAGAAGUACAGACCAGCAUCGUAAGGUAGUGUCCCAUGGCUAGUAGUGUUGUGGAUUGGAAGAGAGGAUUGAGUAGAGAAGAAGGAAAUCAGAGAAACAACAGACAGUCAGUAAUUUGCUAGAAUAAAAGUGUUUGACCUGUGUAUGGAAAACUAAAUUUUGAUUGUCACUCUUAUAGAAUCAAUAAAACAGAGUAUCUCUUCAAAGUAUUAUAUCUUAUUUGUUUUCUGAUUUGAAAUCACAAGGAUGACAGUAUUAUUUUCUUUGCAUCAUCAGCCAUUUCUCUAACAUCUGACAACACUAAUUAGUUUACGUUUACUGUCAUGUCAGUUUUAUACCAUGCACAAGGCUGUCAUUGAAACUACUUCAUGACUCACUUUUGACCAACUUAUCACAGACGGGAGGUAUAACAAGACAUAAAACCCGAGGCAGAACUACAAAAUAAAAUAGGAAACUCGUGAUAUUUUACCCUGUAGAAAUGUCAGGUUGAAUUUUUUAAAGUCUGGCUUUCCAGCUGGAGGCAAAGAUGAGCUUUUCAGGAUUAGGGCGCCAGUAGGUGAGAUGUUGGUGAGACCCACAUUUGCCAACUCUUUUGCUUCAUAUCUGUCUUCGUCUCUCAGUCUUAUUGAAACUCUGGAGUUCAAAUUGUUGUGUGAGCUGAAAUGAAUCACAGGCUGGAAACCUGUCCCAGCUUUGGAAAUGUUUUUACAUUAAGCUCUUUUGGUGUGUUUUAUUCAAGACUAACAGAGCCAGGCUGUCCCCCCACAUGCUUACUGCUGGUGCUGGUGGCUUCAAACCAUCACUGGUGAUACACUGGGAGGGAAUUUUUCAUUAAACUCCUAAAAGUAGGUGUACUUCCCUGCAUAUUAAAGUAGUUCUUGAAGCAACAGACUCCCACAGUCGUGUGACGGUAUUGCUAUGCAGCAUUUAAUUGUCAAUUCUCUGUCUGUGUUAAAAAAAAAACAUGGCACAGCUCUGUCCUCUCCCACGGCGGUGUUGCAGCUCUGUGGCUGCCUCUUUCAGCCCUCCAGAAAGCAUCCAAAGAGAGAUUUCCAUGCUUGAGCUAAUCUCAGAACCCAGAACCAAAUCUUGCUCUGUUGAAAGCUACUGGUUGCCUGUCAGGAGAGAUUCUGCUCUCUCUACCUUAACAAACCAAGCCAACCAAGCAUGACCCCCUUUCCUUCACUGCAAGACCCAUAUAUGCCAACUCUCCUGCCUCAUGUCUGUCUUUGUCAUUCGGUCUCCUUCAAAGUGUCUGGAGUCCAAAUUGAUAGGAGGGAUGGGAGAUGCAACAUGAGCCAUAAGCUCAAAUCCUAUUUCAGCAUUUGUUUUUCCACAAAGCUCUCUUGGUUUCUUACAGGUGUAGAGUCGGCUAAACAAGUGCGGAGCUGCUGUCAAAGCUGUUUGAUGUCCAGCUAAAACUGAAGGUCCUACGAGUCCACUUCCUGACUGGUUUCUACUACAGGGUGUUUGUUAGAUCUGGUUUGUUUGGGAGCACUGUCGAGAUGCUUUUUAAGUUCAAUCAUAUAACCCAGGGACACUUCAGCUGCACACGCUCUGUGCGUUAGCUUGAGUGUCAUAUUAGGAGGAACUAGAUAUCUUUGCACAGAAGCUGGUCCACCUUUAUUUAUAUUGUUAAGAUAAGGUGAGCACAGGGCAGAGGUCUGAAAAGAAGUUGCCUGUCUGGGGCGAAAAAGCAGGAUUUGUGGGCAUUGAACCUACAAAUUAAAAUAACAUCGAACAAUAACUACCUUAAACCACUUUAAAUGUGUAUAUGACACCUGCUCACAUCAUUCUAAUAUGUUUACCUAUGAGUAACAACAUUUCAACACUGCAGAUUAUUACUGUCAUCUUGAGUUAGUUUAACAGCUAACUUCUAUUACUGCCUGACAGAAAGCCUACCUGACGGCACAAAGCACAACUGCAGUAAAAUAAGCUAGACUCGCUAUGCAACAGUUCGUGUUGCCAUGUAUGGACAAAAAAGUGAUGAUCUUUGACUCGUGGUGCAUCGAGGAGGAUAUUUUUUUUUAAACGGCAAAAGCCUCAGCAACAACCUGGAAUUAAAAUACAUACAGUCAAACAGAGUGUUGCAGAGAUGGUGCUUUGUUUUGGUAUUUCUGGUUAAAAAGCUAGGUCUUCUUAGACAUAUAGAUAUAUGUUGGGACUGAGGACACAGAGCCUGAAAAUGGGAUUGUCCUGAUCAAAUCAGGAUGUACAGUCACCCUACGUGAGCAGGAUCUAGGAUUGCGAAUCGUUGGACUUGCUCUCUCACAGUUCGAGCUUGUUUCCGGGCUCAGGAAACAUGUUGCAUGUAAAUGGGACCAGAAAUGAGGUUCAUAAAUGGUCCCACUGUGCUCAUAUGACUGAGAAUAUGGAGUUACGGAUGCAGACAUUCACUUUAAAGCCUCCAGAUGAAUUCAUUCAUAUAUCCAGUAAAAGGGGUGCAGGAGAGUGAGGACUGCAUGCAGAGAAGUUAUAGGACCACCAUCAUUUCUCAGUGCUGGAGCCUAUUUCAUAUAAAUGGACCUCCGGUAGGGAGUAACAGGCCCUGCAAAAAUGCACGUUAUGUGAAUCAAAAACUCGAGACUUUCUUCAUACUCACAAUAUUCACACACUGCUGAUGCCCUUCGAUACCACAGCAUUUAUUUCUCCAUCCGUCUCAUACGACUCGAGCACGGCUCACUUUUCCUCACCUCCCUCCAUUCGCCCUAUCAUCAGUGUAAAAUACCUCACCCCUGCAGACAGAGACAGAUGGAGGGAGCAGCACCAGCCCCCUGCUCGGCUCCAAUGAUUUAUGCCACGGUAGCACAGAUCCCCCCCACACACACUUGCAUUCACACAUAUAGCAUGCAUGUGAUCAUACAUCAGCCGAUGAGAUCCAUGCAUAAAUACGCAAGGACUCGCUUGUGACACAGAGCUGAAUGCAUGACGGCACCUGUCUUGUGUUAAUGUUAAAUGCCAGAGCUCGAGGGCUUUUUAAAAGGACAUGUGCAUCUUUGAAGCUGUAGCAACAGGGUCUGACAUCAUUUGUCCCUUUCCAUGACAGGUAAAGAGGAACAGGCGCAGGGGGAAAUUCUUCCUCCCUGUUCCAGCUGACUGAGGUGUCAGGCGUAAGAAACGCUGCAUUAUACUCAGCUGCAAUACUACGCCACAAGACUGAAUUAUGGGAUGCAUACUAUAGCACAUGCCUACCAUGCAAACGGAGAGUUUUUUAGAGGGGAGAUGAUGAGCGUACAAAACUGCUCCUGAAAAAGAGAGCAAAAAGAAGCAGUUGGAAGCCAUGUGUAUGUGGGUGUUAAGAGAGUGUGUGUGUUUGUUUCUUGGGCUCUGGUGCAACAAGGACAUGCUUGCUGUACACGAGGCAACGGUUUGUGAGUAAGGUCAUUGUACACACUAUCCUCCUCUCGUCACCCUCCCCCCUCUAACCAAACCCACCAACACACAUUUUAAUAUUCAGUCUGUAGUGUAAAUGGGUUUGAGGCAGCGAAUGUAGGAUGUGUAGAAACAAACAGCUAUUAAAGAAGAGAGGACAGCUGAGUGAGGGGUGGAGAGAGGGAUGAAGGUAGAAAAGAAUAGAAAACAAGGGAGGUAGGCCAUGGUGGAGGGGAAAUCGUUUAUCCUGCAGCCCAGGUAAGGGUGACCUGUUUGUCUCUGUCGGCCUCUGUUACUCCCCUGACGUCUCUAUAAUAGGCCUGUGAGGCAGGUAGACACGACAGCACACAGCAGCGGCCCACGGUAACAGAGGCUCACAGGCGCUUAAGCUUCAUUCCACCCCAGUAACUUUAGGGAAUUCACAGAAAUUUCACUUAAUGAAUUAAAUAGCACCAUCCGUUAUUUACAAUGACUUGUUUUUAACAAAUGUGGCUUAAAGGGAAAAAAGACAGAAGAAAACAAGCUCCUCUGGACAGCUUUUGUAGAUGCAGACGGCAUUUCUGAGUCACUUUUGUUGUUCAGUGAAGCUUUUUAUCCAUACCACCGUCGUGGCAUCGAUGUCAGUGAUGAUAAGUUUGUUUGAAUGGUUGGUUGGUGGAUUAUUUAUGCCAAGAAAGAAAUAUCUAUCACAUGUAUUGUUUAGAAACAGUAUUAAUUUUGGCAGCUGUUUUAGAGUGUGUCCUGGGGUAAUUUUAUCACAUUUUGUUUUAUUUUUACUGUCUAUAGUUUUACAUUUAAGUCAUUGCUUUUAGUCAAAAUGUUUGUACUUGCUGUGGUGGAAGCCCAUCAGCUCUGCCCUUUUUACAAAAAACUCCAAGGAGAACAGGCACGCAAGCUAGGCUAUAGUUUUCUGCAGAUGAGCCCAAAUCUACCACAUGAUUCAAUGAAAUUUAAGAGGCUCCUCUUGGUUUAAGUGUGCCCCCUACUGAGGAAUAUUUCAGCACUCUGCCAUCAGAAAAGCUGUGAGGUUUCACUGUGUUUACAGCCACAAUACAUGUAAGUAUUCUUUUGCCUGCAGCACUAAAAUGUUAGUCUUGUGUUUUCUGGUUAUUAAAACCUGUUGUCAGAGUUUUUAUCAACAGUAUUAGACUUUUAGCUUAACAAUGUCCUUUUUUUGUCACAAAAAAAUUUGUAAUCAAUAAAAUAUCUUGUAAAGGUUUAUUUUUCUCAGAGGAUUGGCAGAAUUUGGCUUUAAUCGUGACACGUGUGAAGUUUUACUUCUGAUUUUGAGUAAAAUGUCUAAAUAAUUAUUGAAGAGACAAUCAUUAAUGUUGCAUCAGCCUCAGGAGGAGGAAGUUUGAAACCUGUUUCCUGGUGCCAUUUCAAAAUAAAAAUUUGUAAUCUUCCUUUAUCAAACCUUUUUGUGUCAAACACUAUUUGACAUACAAUCUCAAGUGUACUAACUGUAUAUUAGCAAAUGUUAGCAUGCAAACAUGCCGACAGGAGAAGAUGCAAAUUAAUAUGUCUUGCUUAACAUCACUCUGUUGUGACUGUGAGUAUUUUAGCAUGCAAACUAAAGCAUUUACUGUAAAGCAAAGUGGUGCAAAGCCUAAGCUUUAAAGAAUGUGUCUUGAAUUUUUAUGUAGUUCAACAGGAAAACCCUUUGCUGGUUGAAUGUUGCCAUGGCACCUCCGAAAGUAAGAAUAAGAGCUAGCACGAUGUGUGAUUCUGCACCACUGUUCAUCACACGGGGAAAAUCCAUUGUAGAGUAAAAGUGUCAACAGUACAUGACGAACGAACCCCGACAACCCACCACGCACCACAGACGGAUGACUUAUAACACUGUAAGAGUAUUCAACAGUGGAUUUUACCCAGGGCAGUAACUAUAGAUCUGACGAGAACUUCAAAUAAAACUAAGCCAAGCAGCCGGAUCUCUUUGAUUUGUGUCUCUGCUCACUUACUUCUCCUGUUUUUAUUUCAUUCACUGUCCUCUGCAUGAUGCCAUAACGGCAGCUCCUUCAUCCUCUUGCUACAGAAUCACCUUAGUGAGGAUCCGUUUCAUUACUUUUAUUUGGAAAUAAAACAGUGCAGAGCAAAGUUAGAAAUGAGCACAGAUGAGGGGGAGAGACAGAGGGUGAAAAAAGAGAAGAGACGAGAGACAAUCUUGGCCUGGAGCUAUGGAAAGUUGUAAUAGAUGUUAUGUGAGCAGCAGGAGAAUAAAAAGCAUGUGGGCGUUUAUUAUGAAAUUAAUACUUUUGGUAGCUUUUACCAUAUUGUCUUAGACCUCUCACUUUCCCACAGUGAUGCGUUGGUUUUUCUCAAAUCACAUCCUUAUAUAAUACACAGAAUAACAAUUACAAGAGUUUAAACGGUGACUUAUGAAGCACGAAAUACAGAAGCAUGGAAGCAACAGUACUCUUGUUUUGGAUACAGUAAACCAUGACAGUAAAUGAGCAUUAUUUUAGGGAAUAUGUGCUCUACUUUCAUGCUAGUUUAAUGAAUAAGUUGUUUAGACUUCAUAGAUAUAUGCGGUACAUUGCCCAGGAGAAACAAGAAAACGCACACCAGCACACCAAAAUGCCUGUUCACUACAAAAUUGUGUUCAUUGUUCGGAUUCAUAAAGCAAAUGACAAACAUAUUAUUGAAUGAGUAAUGAACAGUCUCAGAGCAAAGAGUCUGGAUAGCCUUUUAGAAUACCAAGCCAUAGAAGUCAGCAGAGAAAUAGGUCGAAGUGAAUAGAGACGACAGUGCGCCUCACAGCUUCCAAAUAAAAGAACCAAACUCUUUGUUUACAAGCCCAGAAAAUACAAAGACAAGGAGCUACAAAGUGUAAAUUACAGAAGGAACUAAAGUGACAGGUGAGGCAGGAGGAAUGAAAGGAUCCUUCUGCUCCAGUGUGCAGGUCCACUGACAUCUCACUGUCAUCCUUGAACUGUCACUGAGCAACAAUCAUCUGUUGAGAUGUAUUUGUCUGUUUCCCUCCGUACAGUCAGCCAUGAGCAUGACCUGCAAGUCACACACUAGACUCUGCAUAAAAAGUAAGAUAUUGCACAUUUCUGUCUAUUUCCAGUACAACAGGAACCUACCUGGCCAGGCAUUUGAUUUUCACGGGUGAUCAAAGCCACCAUUUAAAAUCUUCUAAAAUCCAACAACAGAUUCACUUUAAAUUAAUCAAUAUGUAUCACCGAUAAAAAAAAGAAAAGAUUUAUUUUCAGUCCUCAAACAUAAUUUUCUCUUAAGAAGCAGACAAGAACCCAUUACAUUCACUGUACAACAUACAGCCCUGUGAUCCAGCGGCAAAGAAUACGCAGGCUAAAUGAAGACUGGCAGUCUACCUUUCUUUGACAUUGGUUAUCAUUGGAUCCUGACCGGUAUUGCCAGUGUGUUCUGAAUUUUAAAGAACUGAUGUCACUUCAUAGCAGUGCCUUCUACAUAAUUGUACAUGUCUGUUAAGUCUCUCUUCAUGUGUGCCAAUGAGACUGUGUCAGGGGGGCAUAACAUCAAUCCAUGCAUGCACCACCUUCACCAUGUCUGUGCAGCCAGUCUUAAAUGGGCUCUUAAGGAACUGCAGUAUUCAGCACUUCUGCAAUGGCUUUAUUUUAAGACUGGUUGGUUGCCACAGUGUGACAGUUGCAUCAGCACCAUGGACAGCAACUGCAAGUUGAAGUGAUGGUGGUAGUUGCACUUAGACUGAUUUGGCUACUGCCAGUUUACAAAGUACUUGGGGCAGAGAGGUUAAGAGUUCCAAGAUGUGUCGGCAUUGUGUUGCAUUGUGUUGGUGGGGUUUAGUCCUGCUACGGAUAAUUUGAAGUUCAAGUCUGCAAAGGUUAGGAGAGGAAAUAGAAAACAUGAGGUAAAGGCAUCUCUUGGACACAUAAAGAUUAUAGGGAACAUGCAAUGGGACAUGGUAGCUUAGGGCUGAGUUCAAGGAGGCCAUUGUUGAGGAAAGAGGGACUUAAAGAGAGAAGGAAGGUGGAAGUGGAGUAGGUAUGCCGGGUAAAUCAUCAGGCCAAGAAGGGAGAUGGCUUACAUGAGUUAGAUGAAGUGGAAAACUAUUGACAAGAGGAAGCUUGGCUGAAUUAACUUGUUUGAAGGCAAGUCAUUAGAUUACUGUUAGGGGCUAGAUACAAUAUGCUUCCACCACCCCAGAACCUGAAACACUGGAUGGGUCAUUACCAUUGUGUGCAAAGAUAGAGAGAGAUGCAAGGUUAGCCUGUUACAGGGUCACCAUAGAGGGUCUAUAGGGUAUAAUAAAGAGGGCAUAUGGGGUAUAGAGUAGGGUACAGAAUAUAGGGUAUAUAGGGUCGGAAUAUUCAACACCUGGCAUAACCAGGUGUUAAAAUGCUUAGUGGUAGCAGUGCAAAGAAAAUAUGUUUUUAAACAAGCGAGUAAGGCCACUUCAGGGGUGGAUUUAUGAUAAAAACUUGUUGCUCCCCGGGACAUAGUCUGCACAAACUCAAGGUCCAACAUAGUACCAUGGUCAAUCAGUCAAAGGAAAGUGAAUUUCAUUGACCUAACUCAGUGCAGGGGGCAUAUGAAAGGAAAAAGCUUAGAUAUGCAGAGUUGGCAGCAGAAGCCAAACAGUAAAGAUGGAAACUUAGGGUUUGUUCAGUUGAGGUACGAUAUAAAGGGCUGGUAGCAUAAACAACUCUCAAAUUACUAGGAGAAAUGGGAGCAGAUAGACAGAGUUUGUAAGAGACCACAAAC